AAUCAACCUCCUUGCAAUCUCCUAUUGUUAAUCGUUUGAGGUUGGUGAGAUGUUGCAGGCACUCAUCUAGCGUGUGAGUGUCCAACCCCUCAAUGUUGUAUACAUCGAAAGAUUUCAAUUUGGAGAGUGGAAGAGAAGAGGUUGAAGUUGAUGGGGCCUUAGCAUUGAUGUUCAUCUUGAUAGUCUGCUUUAACGGCCUUGAACUGGUAUUCGACAACAUUAGAUAUUCAUCGAGUGAUGGAUACAGUGGCAUUAAAUUCAAAGGGCAAUUUCUAAUGUUUAAAGAGGAAAGACAAGGAAAUGCCAUGGUUGAUGUUCCCAUAACUGUUGUGUCGUCCUCGUUGGAAUCAUCAUCGAUUGGUUUUAUCGUCCUCCACCAACUCUUCAUAUUUGGGCAAUCCCGUAGGCAAAGAUACUUAAGCGAUGGGAAGAAUGAUUGUUGUUCUCCUUGACUUCCUUUUGGGCUAUUAUCAUCCAUGUACUCCAGCUCAGUUAAAUCACAAAUUACCAAAUCUUGAAGACAAGGAAAUUGAGCAAAGGAUGGGAGGUGUUUGAAUUUACUACGAAGACCCAUUAUAUUAAUAUGGACGAGAUUUGUGAGCAAAGGAAGCCAACUUGGAAACUUGGCAUCACCCCUCCAUCCUGAAAUACGUAGCUCCUUGAGAUUAGGAUGGGGCUGGAGGUCUUCAAGUGACUCCUCAUCAUCAUGGUUGCCACCGCCCCAUUCUAAAGCCAACGAUCUCAAAUGUUGCUUCUCUUUCAAAUUAGCAGCCUUAAACUUCUCUUUUGCAUUUUUUACGAAUCCCAAAUUUGUUAUUCUUAACUCUCCCCUUAAGUUGUUAAGCAGUCUCAGUUCACUUAGAUCUGCACCGCCAUGGGACCCAUCUUUAUCCACUACAAACAUGCUUAACGUCUCAAGUGAAGUCAGCUUCCCUAUUCCACGUGGCAUAUGAGUUAAACUAAAACAAUCUUCACACCCAAGAUGGGUAAGAUUCACCAAUUUUUCAAUGUUCUUUGGCAAUUCUUUAAGCCCAGUACACCCAUCAAGUUUCAGCGCUAGCAAAUUCUGAAUCUUGCAAAUACUCUUUGGGAGAAUCUUAAGUCCGGGAUUAUAAGAAAGAUCCAGGUACCUCAAAUGUUUCAACUUACAAAUGGAGGGUGAAAUCUUUUGAAUACCUAUAGAAUUCAAUUUCAAUACACGCAAGCAUCUACAAUUUGCAAUUAUCAAAUCCCAAGUUUCAUAGCUGAAAUCUUGAAUUUUUCUGUCUUGAAAAUGUAACAAGCUUCGCAACUUCUUUCCCUUAAACAAAGGAAUUAAUGAAGGAAUUAAUAAAGGAUUAAUUGAUAUGUGGCGACAUUUUUCACCAACAUCACUUGCAAUUUUAUUUGAAUCUACAAUACUACUCUCCAUCCCUGCUACUGAUUCAGCUAGAUCAUGCAUUAAAUCAUGCAUUUUACAUGUUAGCCCUUCCCAUGAAUAUCUUUCUCCUACUUCUUGGAAGAAACUUCUUUCAACUAAAUCUUUAAAAUACCCAAACCCGAUCUCCUCUAGAGAUUGACUUUGAUUCAAUUGCUUUAUGAAACCCUGUGCAAUCCAAAAUUGAACAAGCGCUUGUACUUCAAUUCUGUAAUCUUUUGGGUACAAUCGGCAAUAUGCAAAGCAAUGCUUCAAAUGAGACGGGAGAUGAUCAUAACUCAAUUUCAGUAUAGGUAGAAGUUCUCCUUCAAUUUGUGAUAUUUUAGCAAGUUCAUUUUCUUUGAAAGAAUGCCACUCAUUUGCAGUUUUCUUCAAAGAUAAUGUACCAGCUAUCGUCCUUAUGGCUAAGGGAACCCCACCACACCUUUCCGAAAUCUGUUUCCCUACUUCCACAAAGGCUGAAUUUGUUGAGUCUGCAUAUCCUUGCUCAAAUGCUAUCUUUUUGAACAAAGACCAAGCAUCAUCAUCAGACAAGCCUUUCAAUUUCAAAACAUGGGAUUGACAUUUAUUAGUUAUCUCCGCUACCCUUAGAGAUCGAGUCGUUACUAUUAUCCUACUCCCUUUAGCCCCACCCAUCAAUAACUUCUUUAGCCUAGACCACCUUUCUGGUUCCUCAUUCCAAAUGUCAUCCAAAACAAGCAAAUAUUUUUUCCCAUCAAUUUUAUCUCGAAGUUGUUUUUGCAAUUGAUCCAUUUCAAGAUUUUGAUCAGGUGUUUGAUGAGUCACAGAUUUGAUAAUGUUUGCUACAAUAACUUUCAUAUCAAAAUCAUCUGAAACACACGCAAACAUCGUUAAGUCAAAAUGGUUUUUGACCAUUUCAUGGUUAUAGACAAGUUGGGCCAAAGCAGUCUUCCCUAACCCUCCAAACCCCACAAUUGGAAUGAUAUAAACAUUCUCUUCACUUUGAAACUCCAACACGAAUUUUAGAAGAGCUGCUUUAUCAUCAUCCCUCCCUAUUAUGUCAUCUUCACGCUCAAAAGAGUGCGUUUGCUGCCUCCUUUUAGUCAUGAAAGAAGUUUCCGCGGGGCAAUCACGCGGAAUGAAGCCAAAAAUGUUGGCCUCCCUUUCAAUUGAAGCUAAUCUCGCCUUAAUGGCCUUCAUUUUCCGACCCAUUUUGAGACCAUAAGCAAAUUGGUUUGAGGUUGAGAAGAAAAGGCGUACCUCUUUCGUCAGCUUGUUCCCACCCGAUACAUCUUUCCGCAAAGCUUCAGUAGAGAAAUCAUCGAGCAAGUCGUCGGCAUCAUAAAGUACAUCUUUCAGAUCUUCAAGCCAAACUUUGACGAGAUUAUCGGUCACCGAUUUCUCUUCUGCGUCAAGAAGCACAGCUUUGAUUUGACAGCCAGUGCGUCUGAGGUCGUGGAUGUCAUGUUUUAGAUUCCACCACAGCCCAACUUGAGAGAGAGCACGAGAGCUCAACUUAAUAAUGAGCUCUGCGGCAAUGUCGGAAGCAAUUGCUUCGGCCAUUGUUGGUUCAAACUGAAAUCAAGGCAAAAAGUGUUUGAUUUGUGAAAGAGGAGGACUAAAAUGAGAUUGAUUCCAACAAGAUGAAACACAGAUGUGGAUCCAUCCACCCAGCAAGUUAAAGUUAUGUUGAUUAGUGGGAAAUGGUCCCUCCAUGUUUAUUGUUUGACACAAAUUUCUGAAUGGAGACAAAGUUGGGAUGAUGACACUUUGGGUGCUGUGCACAAUGUGGAGCCGUACAAAUAAUUGAAAUUAAUGAAAAAGGUAUGAAAGAAAAGAGAAAAAGGAGACAAAUCCCAUGGAAUCCAAGGUGUUUUGAUUGAAGGCCCAUGCAUUCCAGUCUUUCUAAACCUUCUUCCCACCUACUUGUGUAAUUCAAGUUUUGAUUUUUUAUUCUCAUUUUAUCGGUAUAUUUACAUUUGAAUUCAAAUACAUAUCCUAUAAUUAACUUUAAUCUCGCUAUUACAAUACUUAACCUCACUAAAUUACUUGUUUAACAUGAUUAUGGUGAAUUUAUAGAAAGAAAAAUCACAAAGCAAAUGCAGAUGCACUUAUGUUAAAAGUGUUAUUAAUAGAAAUUUUAUUAUUUUGAAAAAUAAAAGUAUAAUAACUUUUUUAGCAUUCUAACUUUAUAAAAGAAUUAUUUUAGCUAUCUAUUUAUUUUCAUUCUCUCUUAGUCUUUGAACUUAUAUUUUUUUGUUAAACCAUCCAAAAUGGGUAAAAAAGUUAACGUUUGUUAACUUUUUUGAGAUGACAUAUAGGUAGAUUACCACAUGUAUGUUACGUUAGCAAUUAAUUAUUUUAAAAAAAUAUUAAAAAAUAUUUUCUUAUAAUUUUUUAAAAUUUUAAAAUAUUUUUUUGAAUUUUUUAAAAUUUUAAAAAUAAUUAAUUGCUUAUGUGGCAUGUACGUGGCAAUCCGCGUGUAUGUCACGUCAACAAAAUCAGCAGACGUUAAUUUUUCACUCAUUUUGUGGUGAUUUAAUAAAAAUUACAAGUUGAACUAAAAGAAACGAAAAAUUAAAUGAAAAGUUGAAAUAACUUUUUCUGUAAAGUUGGAGACCAAAAGAAUCAUUAUGGAAAGAAAUAGUUGUUUUUCUUCUCUCUCUUUUUUUUUGGUAUAUUUUAGCGCUAAAAUCACAAUUAUCGGAAACCAAACCAAAUUCUAUUCUUUAUUUAAUUUAUAAAUAUUUUUAUAAUAUAAAAAUAAAUCUUUUAUUUUUAAAAAUAGUGAAAAUAAAUAAAUAAAUUUUAAAAAUAUUAUAUAAAAGUAUUUGAUUAUUUUUAUUUACUUAAAAAAUUUUAAAUAAUAUCUAUGAAAAAACUUUGAAAAUUUGUCAAAUGAUAUUUAAAAACCGUAAAAUAAAGUUUAUUUUAUUAAAAUAAUUAUAAAAAUUUAUAAUAAAAAAUCAAACUAAACUAAAUUAUAAUGGAUGGAUAAAAAAAUACAAUUGAAUUAAACUAAUAUCACUUUAUUUUAUUGCACCAAACUGGACAUAAAAGAUUUUCUUAAAAAAUUUAGCCGUGAGACUGUUUUUCUCACUAUAACCUUCUAGAGCGUGCAAUGUCCUCCCCAAGUAAGUAAAUUCAAUAGAGGUUGGAGGCUAAAGGUUGAUACAUAAAAGAAGGGGAGGGGCAUAGUUCUGCUUGAAACAAACCCCCAAAUUUAGCAUCUUGAGUUGUUAAAAUAAGUAAAUCCACCGUACUUUUUUGUUAGAUUUUGGCUCUCUUCUUCAGCAGAAUGUAGCGUACAGUACAAGAAGCAGGGACCAUCCUUUCUACCAUGAUUUGUUUAUCCGCCCACAUAUUCCAACAAAACGAAUAUGGUAAUAAAUGUCUUCAAUUUCCUUCUAAUUUCCAAUUGAUCUGAUAUAAAUGGUGUAAUUCAAGAGUACUUGUAUAAUAUAUAUGCCCAACUGAGUACUAGCUUAGAUGGAAUCUAUGCUGUUGACGGACUCUUGGAGGCAUGUUCGAGAGAGCUUAAACACAUUUGUAUUUUUCAGUGUUCCAUAGAAUAUUCUAAUGAGCUGUGUCAAGUUCAUUAAAAAUGAUGUAAAAAGUAGUAUAAAAAUAAGCAAAAAGGAAAUUAAAUUAAAUAAACUAAUAUGAUGGAUUUCAAGCUUUAAGCUCAAUUUUGUUCUAGUUUCGAACCAAUGCACGAUAACAAGUCUUCUCCUUCAACCAAUAAGUUAGUUAUAGUGAUCAAGGAUGCCUCAGACCACCAACCCUUCUAUAUGUAAUUAAUUACGAGAACGCCCAAUAGUUAAUCUUUAUCGAACGAACAACCACAAAACACGCAUCCACGAUUUAGCUCUCCGGUAGCCUUGUGAGCUAAAAGGGUCCAUCUCAAACCAACAGCGUCAAUUACGCGAGCCGUUUAGAUCCGAUUGCUAACUUCUUAGUUGGACACGCCAAUGUGUUCUUCGUAAGAUCAAAUACAACAAAUGAUCAAUCCGGUACUUCCAAUUGUACGUCUAUCAAAACCGAAUUAAUGAGCUCUUUUUAACAUGGUGUCAGCACAAUUUUGUGAGCUGCCAGCAUCUAUCUCCUAAAUCAGAGAAACAACAAAUACCGAAAUAAAAUUUUUUAUGUAUAAAUUUAGAUCUCACAGCUCUCUGCCGGAUUAUUUAUUUAGCUACUAAUGAAAAUAUAUGAAAUAAAAUAUAAAUAAAAUUUUAAAAAUAUGGAAAUAGGAUUGCGCAUGGAACAGAGAAGUAAUAAACAAGUAUGAAUAAAAGAGUGGGGCAAAUUUUCCAAUAAUAAAGAAAUAAAAAUCAUCACCCUUUAAAAAAGAGUGGGCCAAUCUCACUUUUACCCUUUAUAAAAUAUAUACCGUAAUGUUGCAAUUGAUAAUUCUGCCCAACUUCUUGUUCUUUAUUCAUAGCAUCAUGUGGUGCUAUUCAAGAAAAAUACAUUGAAAGCUGCAGAAAAUUUAUAAAGAAAGGCCGUCCGUUAACUAAGUUUUUAAUAUAAAAUUAGCAACUUUUUAUUUAAUUAUUACUUGGUGGGUGGUGACAUCUUUAAAAUACAAUAUUGACUCUACGGGUGUAUGUAUGUAUUAACGCUUUUAUUUUCAUCUUGUUCGAAUCAUUUCACUCUUCCUCCUGCAAUAAUCAAACACUUUUUGCGUGCCAUCAAUGGCUGAAGCAAUUGCUUUGGAUAUUGCUGGAGAGCUCAUUACUAAGUUGAUCUCUCGAGCUCCCUCUCAGAUUGGAGUAUGGUGGAAUUUCAAAGAUGAACUCGAUGACUUCAAACAUUGUUGUUGCUAUCUCUGAAUGGGUUGAUCUAUGAAAAUUAAACUAGCCUUGAUAUCACCUAUUGGGAUCAACCCGGUUAAGUAGCAAGUAAAAAAAUAGCGAAAUAAAUUGAGAAAUUGAACACACAAAUUUAACAUAGAAAAACUCCCUCCAAAGAGGAUAAAAAGCCACGGGCAAAUAUAAUGGUAAAAGAACGAAGAGUACAAAAGAUUGAGAUAAAAACUAAAACCCGAAAAUAAAGAACCCUCAAAACGUAAACACAAAAUUCUCUAAAUGUAUUAUGAGUUCUAAUCUCUAAUGGGUAUAUUUUCCAAUAACGUUGUAAAAGAGCCUAUUUAUAGGCUAAAUUUAUAGGUCAAAUAAUAAUAAAAUAAUCUAGACUAAUCAGAGUUUGAUUGAAACAAAUAAACAGAGUUUAAUUGAAAGAUUAUUUCUCAAAUUUAACUGAAAUAGGAGUCAUACUCAACACGGACAAAUCCACCAUGAUCUCUCAUUUACUCUUAAUAUAUAUAGUUAAAAAAAAGAAGAAGACUAUUACUAUUUUAUACUGUACUCUUAUUAUUAAUUAUUGGUAUCGUUGAUGUAGCUGAGCGUGUUAAUUUUUGUUGUUAGUGGUAGUAACAUUUUAAUUAUUUUAUUAUACAUUUAUUUGUUUAUUGUAAGUGGGUUGAUGAUUUUUAUUUGUUUAUUUUUGGAAAUUUUGUCUCAUUCUUUUGUUCCAUGUCAUGUUGGAAAAAGAGUUUGAAUAAACAGGUUAAUUUGGAGUAUUUAAAAAUGGCACGUGUUAGGGUUAUAUGAUCUAAAUUUUAAGAUAUUGUUUGCAAGUUAAAUAAAAAAAUAUUUUUUUAGAAAAUUUAGUAUUUAUUAAUAUAAUAUGUUUAACAUUUAUUAGCAUAAUAUAUUUGACAUUGAUUAGAAUUAGGUUUUUUUAACCUAUAAAUAAAUGUAGUUGAAACUCUUAUUGUAUCAUUUGAAUUCAACAUUAGUGAAUUUUUUCUUCUCCUCUGCCUUUUAUUUUUUCCGAAAAAUUUUUACGUGAGAUCUGUGUGUUCUAUUUUUCUUUGUUUUUCUUUGCGAUCUUUCUACAUUACCAUUAUCGAUGUUUAGUUUUUUACUGCACAUAUGUGUUGUUGAUUGAGAUGAUGAGAUUGAGUACAUGUCACAUAUCGGCUUUGUCUCCACAAUCAGAUGAUGAGAUUGAGUACAUGUCACAUGUUCCAUACUCUAGUGCAGUGGGAUCUCUCAUGUAUGCCAUGGUUUGUUCACGUCCAGAUUUAUCAUAUGCAGUUAGUGCAGUUAGCAGAUACACGGCGAAUCCCGAUAAAGAACAUUGGAAAGCAGUUCAGUGGGUUUUAAGAUACUUACGAGGUACUACCGAUGUUUGCUUACAGUUUGGAAAAACUAGAGAUGGAGUCAUUAGGUAUGUUGAUGUUGAUUUUGCUGGAGACCUCGAUAGAAGAAGAUCUCUCACAGGUUAUAUCUAUACAAUCGGAGGUUGUGCAAUCAGUUGGAAAGCCACUUUGCAAACUACAGUCGCUUUGUCUACCACUGAAGCUGAGUACAUGGCGAUUACUAAGGCUUGUAAAGAAGCCAUUUGGUUGAAGGGACUCUUUAGUGAACUCAAUGAAGACCUUCAAAUCAAUACAGUAUUUUGUGACAGUCAGAGUGUCAUCUUCACUACACCAAAACAGGCUUUUAGCGGGGUUUAUAGCGGCGUUUAACCCAAAAACGCCGCAAAAGAUAAACUUUUAGCAGCGCAAAAAAACAAACGCCACAAUAGACCUGCAUUAGCGGCGCUCGAAAAACAAACGCCGCAAUAGGCCUGCCUUAGCGGCGAUUUCUUUGAAACGCCACAAAAUUUUUUUGCCAAACGGCUUCGUUUUUUUGUUAUUUUAUUACUUUAGUGGCGCUUAUUAAAAACACACCGCAAAAUAUUGGGAUAUAGCGGCGUUUUGAGAGAAACGCCGGUAGAGAUAAGUAAUUUGAGGAAAAAAUUUCAGCAAAACUGUACCGUUUUAAUUUUUCCUAUUAUUGCUUUAGAGGCACUCAGUAAAAAACGCCACAAAAGAUACAGAUUUCACGGCUGUUGUUAACGAAUUCCGCUAUAAGUAACUAAUUUGCGGCGUUUCCUUUAUAAACGCCAGAAAAAAAAAUAAGCAAAACGGCUUCGUUUUAUUUCAUUAUAUUGCUUUAGUAGCGUUUUAACUCAAAACGCCACAAUAGGUAGGCUUUAGUGGCGUUUCUUUUAAAAACGUCGCAAAUAAAUUUGCAAAACGACUUCGUUCUGCUUUCACUAUAUUCCUUUACUGGCGUUUUCCGGUAAAACGCCGCAAAUAUGUCUGCAAUACGACGAUAAAACGACGCCGCUUAUGAUUGGAUCUAGUGGUAUUAGCGGUAUUUUCCGAAAAAUGCCGCAAAAAAGAAAUAAUAGAUUACGAUUUACGGAUUAAUAUUUAUAAAUAAUUGUAUAUGGUUUGGGGUUUUAGGGUUCGUUACACAAUGUUUAUUAUUUUAGGAUUACAGUUUUGACGAUAUGGGUUUAGAGUUUAGGUUUACAGCUCAGGGAUUAGUGUUCAAGGUUUAGAGUUUACAUUUCAGUGUUAAUAUCAUGUUAGGGAAUUUACGGCUUAUAAGAUAAUGAAAUUUAAUGUUUUAGGGCUUCAUGUUUAUGGUUUAUGAUUUAGCGUUAAUUAUUUAUGCGUUACGAUGUUGAUUCUUGCGUUUCAGAUUUAGGGUUUGUACGAUUUAUAGUUUAGGGUUUAAUGUUGUGGCGGUUUUAGGGUUUUUUACUAUUUUGAUACAAAAGUCAAAAAAAAUUCGAAUACCAUGUUUUUUACUUCUUAUUAUGUCAUUAUUAGGUUCAGAACUGACAUGGCAAGAUAUCAUAUAUAUAUGUUAUGUAUGAUGAAACAGUUUAAUAUUGUGUACGAGGUAGCGUACGUUAUCAAGAUUUGCAUAACUUAGAGCAUAAAAUUAAAAUUGUAAGACAUUAUUGGAAUAGUGUCAAUAAUUUAUAAAUUGGAAUGUUGAUAGUGUUUAAAUAAUACAUAUAUACUUACAUAUAUAAAAUGGAAAUUUUUUUUAAAGAUUUGUACAAAAAAAAAGAAUAUGUUAAAUCUGUGUCAUAAUUUUAAACUAUUUUAAUUGAAAUGACAUUAAUAAUUUCAUAUUAAUGCAUCAAUUUAAAAUAAUGUCAUAACAUUUAUCCAAUUUUAAAAUCCAUUAAAAAAAGAAAUAGUUAUAAAUAUAGACAUAUAAAAUAUUAUUACAAUUGAAUAAUUAGUGGCGUUCUUUUAAAAAUGCCGCAAACAAAUUUGCAAAACGGCUUCGUUCUGCUUUCACUAUAUUCCUUUACUGGCGUUUUCCGAUAAAACGCCGCAAACUUAUUUAUCAAUUUUAAUAUUGAUAGUAUUUAAAUUGAGAGUAUUUAUAAAUUUGAAUAUUUAUUAAAUAUGUAUAAUUGAAAAAAAAUGUAUUAAAUCUGUGCCAUAUUUUAAAAUAAUAGUAUUGAAAAAAAUUAAUAAUUUCAUAUUAAUGUUUCAAUUUAAAAGAAUGUCCAAACAUUUAUCUAAUUUAAAAAUCAAUUAAAAUUCAAAAUGCUUAAAAAUAAGGUGAAUAUUUAGUGGCGUUUGUAACUAAAAUGCCGCAAACGCUAAUUAAAUAUUGAACUACACGUGGCCUUUUGACUGACGCGUUUAGGGUUUAGUGGCAUUUUCUCUCAACGCGCCGCAAAACCCGUAAGAUUAGUGGCGUUUUCUUUUAAGCGCCACAAAAAGUUUAAUUAAAACGGUGUCGUUUCGAGGGGAUAUCAGAUUUGGGGUAUAUCCCCGCAGCCAGCCGCAAAUCCCCCUUUUCAGCCAAAUCCCUAAGUGUUUCUGCACAGCAUCUCCGAUUUCCCCUCAUCCUUUCUUCAUCUCUUUCACACUUCUGUUUGGGUGUUUCGCUUCCUAGCAAAAAAAAACCAUUAAAAAGGGUCAUUACAUUGUAUUUGUUGAAGAUAAUAUCACGAGGGAACAAAACAUAUUGAUGUACGGUAUCAUUUUGUUCGUGAUACUAUUGCUCGUGGUGAUAUUGUUGUGAUCAAAAUUAGUACUCAUGAAAAUCCUGUAGAUAUGAUGACUAAGUCACUUCCUAUAACCAAGUUUGAGCAUUGCUUAGACUUGGUUGGUGUUCAUUGUUGAAGAUAAACCCUUAAGGAGUUUUAUGGAAGAGGUGGAGAAACUUGUUCGCUGAGAGUUCGCGAUGAAAAACUUGUUCAUUAAGAAUUCGUGUCAAGGUGGAGAUUGUUAGAAUUAAGUGACCCGAAUCCUUAUUUAAAUAAAAUACAAUGGUAAAAUAAAAUAAAAGUAAAAUCCCUAUAGAAUUAUACUUCUUUUAUUUUAUUUUAGAAUAAGGUUUUUUAAAUCUUAUUAAACUCCAUCUAUUUGAUAUUAAUUAGAAUAAGAAGUUUCACUCCUAUUAGAAUAAGGUUUACAAGCCUGUAAAUAGGCAUAGUCUACUCCUCUUGUAAUUAAAAUUUGAAUUCGACAUAGUGAAUUUUCUUCUCAUCUGCCCGUGGUUUUUUCCCGAAAGGGUUUCCACGUAAAAUCUGUGUGUUCUUUAUUUUUUCUAUUUCUAUUUUUCUUUGCGAUAUAUUGUCAUUACCGAUAUUAUAUUUUUCACAGAAUCAAAUAUUAUUAAAUUCAAAUUCGAUAAAUAAUAAUUUAAACAUAAAUUAAUGAUUAUUAAAUCAAAUUUAAAUCUUUUUCGAAUUCAAUUCAAUUAACUUACGAAUGAUUAUCAUCUCUCUCUUUCUCACCUACGUGCUUAGCUUUGAUUUUGUCUUUUAAAGUAGCUUGGUGUCUACAAUUAUAUAUUACGACAAUGGUUACUGUCCAUUACUACUUUAGUACACUCUUAUUAUUAAUUUUUUAUAGUAAUGGGUAUGUUAAUUAUACUUGCUAUUAAUUUUUUAUAUAAUAUUAAGAGUAGGGAUGGAGGUAAUAUUGUUUGAAUCCGUGUCAAAUAGGUAUUGACAAGAGUUUUAACUACUUUUCUUGCAAGGCAAGAUAUAUUUGUUAUUGACAAUAGUAGUAGCAUUUUAUUUUCUUUUAAAUAUACAUAUAUUUAUUAAGAAAGGAUUAAAGCAUUUGAUUUGUUUAUUAUUAGGGAAAAAAAUUAAAUUUAUACAUGACUUUUAGUUCAAUAAGUAAUUUGAUAUAUGAAUUUUGAUGUGGAAUAAUUUCCACAUGAAACUUGUAUUGUGGGUCAUAUAUAUAUACAUGAAAUUUUAAUUCUGAUUCAACUGUGCACAUGUAAAAAAAUGCAUACAUAUAUAUAUAUUUACAUUAGAUUAAUAUAAUUGUUUGUCUACACAAUAUACCAAAGUAAAUUGUAAGAGGUUGAUUUGGCAUAUCCCAAAACAUUUUGUUAUAGCUUGGAUGGUCAUUCUUGACAAGUUGCCUAUCACCGGUGAAGCCUAGUAGAGACUCCUAAAAUGGUAAAUUUUUAUUUUAGACUUUUUAUAAUUUAUAAAAUUUUAAAUUAAUAAUUAUAAAAUUAUAAUUUGAUCCUCUAAAAAAUUAUAAAAAUUUAAUUUAACUCUUUAAAGUUUAUAAAGAUAUACUACUAUAAAAAUAUACAAUUUAAUUUGGAUUAAAAUCUUUUUUAGCUCGGCUGCUAUUGCCUACAAAAGAAAAAUUAAUUUCGUUUUGGACACAACAUGCGGAGAGAUAUUUGGGUUUAUGUAAGCUCCAUGGUAAUGCAUUUUAUUGGAAUUGAAGGAAAAAUCAUUACUGAUACCAUCAUGAAGAUUGCUUCCAUUGCUCAUGUCUAUUUAAUUAUUUUAAUACACAUAAAUUUGUUUUUUGUGAGUUGGGUGAUUUCGGUUUGUUUAUUUAAGAUAUUUUAUUUUUAAAUAUAUUCUUAAUUAUUUAUUUUACAUAUUUUAACUUAAUAUAUUUAAUAGUACUUUUUUUAAUAAAAAAAAACUCAAAUGUCACUACAUCAUUUUAAGUUGCAUCAUAAAUUAUAAUGUUAUGGAUAUCGCUAAGAUAAUCCAUCUUAAAAGAUAAAUUACAACACUUAGAAAGGCCCAAUUAUAAAGAGAAUCGGCUGAUUUGUUACAACCACGUUUCACCCAUUUGACCUGUAACACCCCUAACCCGUAUCCAUCGCCAGAAUAGGGUUAUAGAGUAUUACCGGAGUUUACAAAUUAAUUUACAGACAAUUCAUUUCAUCAAGCGUUCAUAUUUAUAACCAAUCAAAAUCAAAACAUAAUGAAUUAACGUUGACCAAUUUAACUUAUACAUGUCAUUAUAACCAGAAUCAAAUCAUUCAAAAUUACCGAUAGAACCAAUGGAUAGUGUGAUAUAUCUCCGAUAAGUUUCCAACCCAAUCGAGCUUCCGAUAAUCAUUUCAAUGCAUCUAAUAAUUAUACAUAUUACCAAUAAUAAUUCAAUUCCAAUAAUAAAACACAUAUUUAUAUAAUAUUCAUCACCAAAUAACGUUCACUUUAAUUAAAAUUAUACUGAAUAUAGUUCAUACGAACUUACCAAGCUAAAUUGCAGAAAUACCAAAAAUCAAGGACAUUUUGGUAAUUUUUUAUUUUCCUCGAAUUUCCAUCCAAUCUUGAUCUAAAUUAAUAUUUCAUUCAAUUUAUUAAUUUAAAUAACAAAACAAUUUAUUUCAUGCAAUUUGGUCACUUUUUGACAUUUUUUACAAAAUUACCCUAAAAAUUUUACUUUUAUUCAAUUUAGUCCCUGAACCUAAAACAUGUAAAUUAGCUAUUUUAAAAAUAAACUCAUAUUAUCUGAUUAUUCACAUAUAUUUUUCCUCCUCCUCCACUCCAUUCCACAUCCUUGAUAUAUACAUAAUACCACUAUUUACUUGUUUACUCAUAACAAGCUGUUCACUUAAGUCAUAGUCACUAAAUAAAUUAUAUAUUAAGCUACAGAACUCCAAAUUGAGAUUUUUAAAUUUUAUAUGAAACUAGACUCGCAUAUCUUAUUACUAUAAAAUUUUCAUAAUUUUUGGUUUAUCCAAUAAGUACAGUUUAUUCUUUAAAUUUUCCCAUAUUUCACUGUUCGACAAUCCCGACCCCUCUUCACUAAAAAUUAAUUAUUUCUCUGUAAAAAAUUUGGAUGAUGUUCUCGUUUGUUUCUACUGAAAAUAGACUCAUUAAGGAUUUUAAAAAUAUAAAUUAUAAGCCAUAAUUAUUUUUAUACAAUUUUAAUGAUUUUUCCAAGUCAAAACAGGGGAACCUGAAUUCAUUCUGACCUUAUCUCACAAAAUUCAUUAUAUCUCAUGAUUUAAAAUUUCAUUACUUACACCCUUUCUUCUUUGAGAAACUAGACUGAAUAAGAUUUAAUUUCAUAUUUUUUUAAUCCUCUAAUUUGAUUUCCAUGAUUUAUGGCGAUUUUUCAAAUUUAACCUACUGCUGCUGUCCAAAACUGUUUUAGUGUAAAAUGUUGAUAACUAAAUUUAUAACACCGUCCUUUCCUUUCUCUUCAAUAUUUUCCAUCAUUUCCUUUUAUUUCCCUUUGCUAACAUAACAAGAAUAUAGAACCUUAUAUAAUGAAACUCUACAUUAACAUUAAUUUCCUACUUUUUCAAAAAUAUCAAACUCAAAAGUAUAUUGAAAUCUUGAUGUUCUUAACUUGUGCUAUUGAUUUCAAUCUUUAACUUGAUUUUCUCUCUCCUCCAGCUUCUAUUUCUUGAAUCGAACUUGAUAUUCUAGCUCCCCAUAGUCUCCUUAACAUUUUUCUCUCUUGGUAGCUAUGAAAAUUCUUUUGAUUUCUAGGUGAAAAUGGUAAACUUUUGGAGGAAGGACCAAAUUGUAAAAAAAAAAAGAAAACUUUCUUUCUUUCUUUCUUCCUUCUUCUCACGUUGGCGCAUAUAUAUACUAAAUAGAAUAAUAAUAAAAUAAUAAAAUAUCAUUUAAAAAUUAAAUUAAAAUAUUAAAAAAUUAAUAUUAUUUAAUUAAUUAAUCUAAAAUAUCACCAACAUCAUCAUUGCCUUCUAGAUUUCUCUCUCUUCUAAUUUACCAUUUUGCCCUUUAUAAUCUUUAAAAAUUCCAUCAUUGAGUCAUCACUUAAUUUGGUAAAAUUGUGAUUUAGUCCCUCAAAAUUCUUCACCUUUUUAAUUUGGUCCUAAUUCAUCCAUUUUCCUUAGUUUCUAGAUCAUUCCACCCUUAAAAUAUUUUCCCUAUUGGUCCUUCAACUUUUUCAUAUUUACACUUUACCCCUUCAAAUUUUGAGUAUUUACUCUUGAUCAACAGAACUUUUCUCACUUUUGCGAUUUAAUCCUUUCUUGAAUUAAUAUAUUAUAAUAUAAUUGCUAAUGUUGCCAUAACUCAAAAUUUCCCUUUUUGUCACUUUAUUUCCAUAUUUUACUAUAUCAAGGAUACCUACUUUCUUACUAUAGUAAUUUUCGGGGUAUUACAGUAGUAAUUUUCAGGAUAUUACAGGUGCUCAUACCUAUUUAAUUAAUUUAAUACACAUAAAAUUGUUUAUUGUGAGUUGGAUGAUUUUGGUUUGUUUAUUUAAGAUAUUUUAUUUUUAAAUAUAUUCUUAAUUAUUUAUUUUACAUAUACCUGCAUUUUAACUUAAUAUAUUUAAUAGUGAUUUUUUUAAUAAAAAAAGGACCCAAAGGUUACUAUCUCAUUUUAAGUUGCAUCAUAAAUUACAAUGUUAUGGAUAUCGCUAGGAUAAUCCAUCUCAAAAGACAAAUUACAACACUUAGAAAGAUCCCAAUUACAAAGAGAAUCGGCUAAUUUGUUACAACCACGUUUCACCCAUUUGACCUCGGCGGAAACAAAAGAAUCAAGCAUCUUGUGAACUCCUUGAUGCAGUGAUCAAUGAUCGUUAUGUCCUUGUCAAAACUAAAGCAGUGGACAAUGCUAGCACAAUCUGUUUCAAAAAUGACAUUAUCGGCUUUAAGAAAUUGAGCAAGCUGAAAACCAUUGAUGAGAGCAUCUAAUUCCGCUUUAAUAUUGAUUUUUUAUUCUCAUUUUAUCAGUAUAUUUACAUUUGAAUUCAAAUACAUAUUCUAUAAUUAACUUUAAUCUCACUGUUACAAUACUUAACCUCACUAAAUUACUUGUUUAACAUGAUUAUGGUGAAUUUAUAAAAAGAACAAUCACGAAGCAAAUGCAGAUGCACUUAUUUUAAAGUGUUAUUAAUGGAAAUUUUAUUAUUUUGAAAAAUAAAAGUAUAAUAAGUUUUUUGGCAUUCCAACUUUAUAAAAGAAUUAUUUUAGCUCUAUAUUUAUUUUCCUUCUCUUUUAGUCUUUAAACUUACAUUUUUCUGUCAAACCAUCCAAAAUGGGUGAAAAAGUUAACAUUUGUUAACUUUGUUGACAUGACAUAUAGGUGGAUUACCACGUGUAUGUCACAUUAGCAAUUAAUUAUUUAAAAAAAUAUUUAAAAAUAUUUUCUUAUAUUUUUUAAUUUUUAAAAUAUUUUUUAUUUUUUAAAAUUUUAAAAAAUAAUUACUGCUUAUGUGACAUAUACGUGGCAAUCCGUGUGUAUGUCACAUCAGUAAAAUUCAAGAUAGUGUGGAAUAGUUUCUAAUCUUAUUAUUAUAUAUGUUUUCGAUCUCAUUAGAGCUAAUCUCACUAUCUAUAUAAAGAGAGCCUAAAUAUAAUUUGUUCAUCUUCUUUUAAACAUGUUAGUGCUCCUUUGUAUGAUCAUUUACCUCCCGUGAGUAGGGUUGAGUAAAUAAAAUAAUUGAAAAUCGAUCCAAAUCAAGGUGUUUAGACGGUUUAUGGAAUACAAAUUAAAAAAUCAUAAUUAUCCGAAACCAAACCAAACCAAAUUCUAUUCUUUAUUUAAUUUAUAAAUAAAUUUAUUUUUUAUAAUAUAAAAAUAAAUCUUUUAUAUUUAAAAAUAGUGAAAAUAAAUAUAUUUUAAAAAUAUUAUAUAAAAGUAUUUGAUUAUUUUUAUUUACUUAAAAAAUUUUAAAAAAAUAUCUAUGAAAAAACUUUGAAAAUUUGUCAAAUGAUAUUUAAAAGCCAUAAAAUAAAGUUUAUUUUAUUAAAAUAAUUAUAAAAAUUUAUAAUAAAAAAUCUAACUAAACUAAAUUAUAAUGGAGGAAUAAAAAAAUACAAUCAAAUUAAACUAAUAUCACUUGAUUUUAUUGCACCAAACUGGACAUAAAAGAUUUUCUUAAAAAAUUUAACCUGCAAUGAGAUUGUUUUCCUCACUAGAGGUGUUAUAUAAGUACAUAUCAUAUGAUAAUUAUAAAUUUAAUUAUUUAAUUGUUAUAAAAAUUAAAUAUAUUACAAAUUAAUAUUUAUAUAAUGAUAUAUUAAAUACAUGUAAAUUUAUUAUUAUAAAUAUAUUAUUCGUUGAAUAUUAUUAUACGUGAUUUUAUAUAUUUAUUUAUUAUUCACUGAAUAAUAUAUUUUUAUUUUAUGUAAUUAAUACAAAAAUAAUAUUAUUCAAAUUGUGGUGCAUAAUUAAAAUAGUGCAACAAUAAAAAAUUCAAACAUAAAAGUUUGAAAGUAAAUAAUAAUGAAAUAAAUUUUUUAGUGAUUUUAACUACUAAUUUAAUAAAAAAACUAAAACAUACAAUUCUUAUGUAUAUUUUAUAAUUUAAUAUAAAAUAUAAUUUUAAUUAUUUUUUAAUAUAAACAUAGUUUUGAUAUUUUUAAUUAUUAUUUAAAAUAAUUUAUUUUUAAAUAUAUUAUUAAUUAUUUAUUUUACAUAUACAUACAUUUUAACUUAAUCACUGGAUCAAUCUUGUUGUUUGUAUGAAAUCGGUCCAUUGUAUAUUUGAGGUUGUGACCAAUGACAUCUAUAAAUAAUCAUAUGAUUAGAGGAACAUGAAUUUAGCUAACCCUCACUUUUGUGGAACCGUCUUACACUAGAUCAUCAUUUCUUAAUGGCGAAUGUCACGCCAAUUCGUUUCUUGGGCUCGACAACCACUGACGCUGUAAGUUAGCGAACCGACUGUGCAACGUUCCCAAAACAUACAAAGCGGUCGUUCCUUGCACAAGAUGAGAAGAUCACUUUUGGAAGUACAUGGACGGAAGCGUCAGUCCCGUAAUGUUGAGAAACAAUAAAUACUUGUUGAGAAGGCUAAGUGCGGGUUCUAAGCCUCAUGAACCUUUUUUGAGAAAUCUCUACAACCUUUGACUAUAUGAGUUCAAUAAAGGAACAAAAACCUAGAGCUUUAGGGAAACGAAAUUUUUAUAGAAAAGAUGAGUUAAUAUUUAUGUCAUUCUAUCCCCUAUUUAGAACUCUAUCCCCUAUUUAGAGUACAUAGAAAACCUAGUUUGUUCCUAUUUAAACUCUAAAAGAUAAAUAAAUAUAUAAUCUGAAAUUAAAUAUAAAUAAUAUAUAUCAUAAUAAUCCUAUCAAUAAUCCUAAAAAUAAAAUUUAAAUUUAAAUGGAGUCUUCUGUUCAUAAAUCUCUUCUUUAAAUUUUUGCCCCAAGUCUUUCACACUUUGUAUUUUCGGCACCACUUCUUUCCUAUUUCGCAUGCUGGCCCAUUUUGUCUUCAAAUUCACGCUUUUUGUCCCCAAAUUUUCUUUUGCCUUCAAUUUAAUCCCUACGAGAUAAAAAACCAUAAAUAACUCAAAUUAGUAGAAUCAUACUCAAAACAAAUAUGUAAUUAAUACAUAAAAAUAUGUUAUUUUAAAGUAUUAUCAGUUUCUUAGCGAGCUAUGGAAAUGUAGGUCUCCGAGGAGGAUUAUAGCCCAUCAAUUUUCUCUCUGUAGCAACAAUGAACCUGCAAAUUAUAAAUGCCAAUCCAGAAAAGUAUAAAAUAUUUCUUUUGUAGAAAAUUUUAUAUAUUUUUAAUUAAAAAGAAAAAAGCAAACCCAAUUACACAACAGUCAAAACUGAAGGAAAUUUCAGAAUUAAAAAUGAAUAAAACCCAUAGAUGUAAGCAAAUUUCAUGGGUAUCAUUAGCUUAUUAUAUAGUAUAUGUCAGAGCAAACGUAUUAUUGUCUUCUUGGGAAAAAAAAUUAGACAAGUAAUUUAGACACCUUUAAAUGUCUUUUAUUUGGUAAUUUAUCCUGUAAACUUUGACAACCAAUGCAAACUCUUUUUUGGUGUAAAUGCCCCUUAAGUCCCUCUACUUUUUGCAGGUCAACAAAUUAGUCCCUCUCUAAGGAAAACAGAUUAAAGGAGACCAUGUACUCUUUUCAAAGGUGAAUAAAUAAGGACAAUUAAGAUCAGAGUUAACAAUUUCUAUUAAUACAUGACACAUCUCUAAUUAUGAUUAGUUAAAUUUGAAAACAUUUUAAAUAAAUUAAUAUAUAUAAUAUAAAAAUCUAUAAAAGAAUUCAAAAUUUCAAUUAUUAUAACAUUAAUUUUAUAUCUAAAAAUCCUAAAUUAAAUUAAAUUAAUUCAAUUGAAUUGGACAAACAAAUUCGACCUGAAAUCAUUUGAUAUUGUUGGUUGGACAACCAAUCUGGUUUUAAAAACCUUGACUAGGACAACAUCAAUAUGUUAAUUUAAUUUCUUGUUUGUUUAAUAUUGUUUAUUUAAUAAAUCUAAAUUUUGAAGCAUCUAAAAUGUUAAUAAAAUCUUAUUUCUAAUUAUUUUCAUACAUUGAAUAUGUUAUUUUACUUUGUUAGAACUUGUUUAAAAGAAUAUUGUAUGCUUCAAUGAAAGUCACAAUUUAUCUUUGACCAUGAUUGUUCGCAACUGAGCUACUUAGUAAAUUAAAAAUCAGACCUCGACUAUGUACUGUAAGUGCAUUUUCCUACAAACUUUACCCUAUGAUUCAUUAGCCAAAGGUAUUCAUCCCAUCCCCCAAAGUCAUGAGAUAGAUUUGUAAGCUUUGCUUAUGUUAUAGUUAAGGUGGAUGUGUACGCUAGUGUGUGAGUUCUAAAUUAUAUUGUAUAAAAAAAAAACCAAAAUUAAAUGUGUGUAAACAUCUUAUCUCCAUGCAAAUUUAAGCUAUUGAGCUAAUUUAUUCUUAUAAAAUAUUAAUUUUAUCCAAAAUUUUCUUCUUCAAUAUAGAAAUUAAUGUACAAAGAAAAUAAAAUUUUCUUCUUCAAUAUAGACAUUGGAUAUAGGUGUAGCUGUUUUGUAACAACCUAAAAAGGGUCGUAAUUGCUGCAGGGCUUCCGCAUUCUUAUCUCCUCAAUAUUUGAUAAUCGAAUGGAGCUAAGCUAAGCAUUCAACCAAUCAUAAGAUGAAGAUAUGGGAUUCAUUACUCAAUCUAGCAAUGUCUUCAACUUUGUACAACUCAAUCUUCAAAUUGCUUAAUAGUUCUUGCGUGAAGCCCUUUCAUUAAAUGAUAGUCUACAUAAUGUACACAAAAUUGCUUGAUAAUUAGUUGUGCUUGUGUUGGAACCUUAUUUGAGACAUCAAAAGAGAAAAAUAUGUUUUGUCCUGAGUGGACACAUAUAUAAGUAAAACUAAAGAACACAACUAAGAUAUUUACGCAGCUUGAAACUUGUCCUACGUUUGCAGCGCCUUGUUCAGAGAUAAAUCCACUAUAUAUUUUAUAGUACAAAGAAAUGAUUUAUGCCCAACUCUCAAACAUUUGGUGUGACCUCACCUUUGUACAAUGAAAUAAACUCUCUCCCAAUUCAUUUUAGCUAUACAAUUAGAAAAUCAACACUCAAAAGGUGUAUAACAAUGACACUCAAUAAUAAUUCCUCGCUAUGAGCGCAUGUACUCCGUUAAAUCCACACAUCAUCCACAAAACAAAUCAUCUAUGUAUAAGCUCCAUGUAAAGUGAAAUAACAAAUUUUCAAAUGCAAUAUCACUGGACCUUUGUAGAAACACUUACCGUUACUAAAUGCUGCUUUAUAUCAUGUGCAUAAAUGGUGGCUAACCACAAACCUAUUGUCUAUGCUUUUUCGGUGCAUUCAAAGUUUACACAUUCUGCCAAUUUAGUUUUGAUUUAAUAAAUUUAGCCCACAACAUUUACACAUUUUGUCAAUUUGAUUCUAGUUUAACAAAGUUAGCUUGCAACAUUUACACAUUAUGUAUGGGCUCAAUUUGUUAUUUUAUCGAUCAAAAUUAUGUACGAGUGAAAAAAAAUAUUAACAUUGUGGUUAAUUGUCCUUAGUUCACUUCCGAAAUUGAUAGGGAUUAAAUUACUCCUUUUAUUUUUAGAGGGGCCAAUUUGCAUAAUAUUGAAUUUGAGAGGAACAGAAGAUGUGUUUUUACCCAUUUUUAUCCUUAUUAUAAUUUGCAUAAUAUUAACUUUAUUAUAAUUUGACCUUAUUUGAUUCUUUUUAAUAGUACAUGAACUAAAUUGAUCAUUUAAUAAUAGAGGGAUUAAUUUGAUGCAGUCCCUAUAAUACAGGUACUUUCACCAUUAUAUAUAUAUUUGAAUUGUAAUUUCGAGAUGAAAUUGAACAAUUGAAAAAUGUAAAAACAAAUGAAAUUAGCUCAUUAACUUGUAAUUAUAUACAAAAUGCUUCCCUCCACAUUUAUCCGGCGGCGCUCGAGGCUCUAAUGGUCCCAUGCUGCCGUAUCAACCUCCUCCUAGGCUUCAACAGCACCAGCUUCGACGGUUCCUCCAGUUGUUCCGCCAAUACGUGGUCACCUGGCCUUCGCUUCAACGAAGCCGCGGUUUGCUCAUCUCGAUGAUUAUCACAGAUUUUCAUCCAGUAAUAGUCGUGUCAAGAAGUUGAAGCAAUUGUUGUGAGAUCUCCAGUGAGCUCAAAAAUUCUCUUUUGAAAAUGAUGGCUAUCAUGUAAUUAGUAGUAUAUUAUUUCAAUUUUGAUGAGAAUUGUACUGUCACUUAACGCUUAAUGUCAUUUGCUUAACUUUUUUUGUGUGUGAUAUUUUGAUCUGUUCAUAAAUAGAAUGUUUCAUGGUGGCUAAGUUUCUUAGGGGAUAAUUAUGAGUAGCAUUAUUUGUUUGUGCAGUGAAAUUGUGAUGUCUGUAUUUUAAUAUGUGAGGUAUUUCCGUAUUUGAUGAUGUAGUGGAGUUUUGGUAGAUUAAAGUGCUUGUUUGCUGAACUAAGUUGAAAUUGAAGGAAUGCUGGCCUCACCCAAUGUCCAAAACUUGAUGACUUCAACAUUUUGAUGCCUUAAUUUGAGAAAGCUAAGUUUUAGUAUUAUAAAAUUUUCUCAGAAUGCAGAUGAGGCAAAGAUGUAGUGAUCAAAUAUAAUUGCAAUUGAUAGUAUGUUUGUUUUAUGUACUAUAAAUGCUAUAGUAAGAGAGUUUAAAGCCGAACAUUUAGUGUCGUGCUCUAUAUGAAGAAAGGUUGAUGGGUGUUAGCUCUUUUGAUGUUUUGCCUUUGAUGGAUGUUUGAAAAAUGAUUCAGCUCAUAUCCAUAAUGUCUAUCACUAUAGUUUCCCCCUUAUGUAGAGUAUGACUGCUAGUUUGUCAGGCAAAAUUAUGUUCGUAUAUUAUAUUCUUUUUCUUAUUGUCUUCAACACGAUAACAAGUGAAUUACUAGUUACUUUGCUUGAUUUUGUCAUGCCAUUUAUCUCUUUGAGUUUCGGCCUUUCUGAAUUAACUUUUGAAUCAAGUAGUGAAGCAUUUCUGAUGGUUCUUAUGACUAACAGUAGGUUUUCUUAUACAAGCUCUCCUACAUAUGCAUUUCUUAAACUUAUGCUCUUUUUUAUUUUAUUUUCUUCAUUUCAGUUGGUUGUUAAUCUUGAUAUAACCAUGCACAAAUACUAAUACUAAGGGACCCUGUAAUUUUGCCUGCCAUUGGAAGAGGAAGAGCGCAGCAGACAAAAAUGAAGUUAAGUCUAGCCAACAUAAUACAAGAUGUGUUAUUCAACUUGUAGUUUGAUGUGUGCCAACAUAAGCAUCAACACACAAGUCAUACGUAUAUACAGCCAGGAAAUCGACAUCUUUUGGAAGAGUCCUAAUCCAAGCAUCAUAAUUGAACACAGUCUUGGAAUACUGUCUAAAAAAAUGGUUGUCUCAUAAUCAAUUGUGCAUCCCUGCAUUUGAAUGCUGUUUUGAACACUAAAAAAACAUAAAUGUGUUUUUUCUGAGUUGACAUGUAUUAUGCAACAAGGAAAACAAAGAUCACAAUUAAGAUGUUUACACAGUUCGAAACUAGUCCUACAUCUGCGGGGCCUUACCCAAAGAUGAAUACACUAUGAACUUCAUAGUACAAAGAAAUGAUUUAAGCCUAACCCUCUAACAUUGAUGCAAUCUCAACUUCAACCUCACCACCAAAUAUUCUGAAGCAGCUUCCUUUUUUUUCCUGUUUGGACCUUCAAUAACAAAUUUGGCUGGAAUUCCAAACAGCUAAAAGAGUGCCCUGCAUCAAUGAAUAUCAUGAAUUUGAAUACCUCCAAAAGCCUGUCAAUAUCACAGGUACCAUCUAAGAUAGUAAUCAGUUGGCAUUUAUUAAGAGAAAACAUAAAUAUAUAUAAAGAUAGGAUAGGUAAGUGCUUAAAUGAAGAAAAGGCCUCUCUCCACAUCAAUGAUUUUUUAGACUAAAAUUAUUAGAAGCAAUUGUCAAGUUAUUAUUAUGAUUUAAAAGUAAAAAGCAAAUAGAUAAGUUAGCACCUCUUUUUAUGCAUAUAAAAUGAUUGAAGUUCACUAAUGCCUUUCUCCAAUGCCUUACUGCACAAAUCAGCAAAAAUAUUAUGAAAGAGGAUAAGUAAAAAGUAGGAUUAAAACAAAGGGACUUUAACAAGGAAAUUAACAGUAUCCAACUUCAAUGAAAAAUGGCAUCAGACCCCUGACUUGGAGAUUCAAUAUACCACUCUUAUUUUUCUUCAAAAAAAGAUAAGGUCAUCAAAAUAAAUAAAUAGCAAAGACCAACCUGACACAACCGAAUGUUGGGGAUGUGAGCAAUCUUUUGCCAAUCAGUGCCAAUGUCCUUCCGACAUCUUUCCUCCAACUGAGGAAGUCCUUCUAUUCCUAAAAUUUGCAAAUUGGUUAGGCAACGCAUCUCGUCCGGAAGAGAUGUUAAAUUAGGCAAAUGACAGAGAUAAAGCCCUUGCAGAUUUGUUAGAUGUUGAAGCCCAAUGGGGAGAGACACCAGCUUUGGAAUACUAACAAUCUCCAAACGAGAGAGAUUCUUAAGGGGUUCCCAUUGCAUGCCCUCUAAAUCAACCUCCUUCCAAUCUCUUAUUGUUAAUCUUUCGAGGCUGGUGAGAUGUUGCAGGCACUCAUCUAGCGUGUGAGUGUCCAACCCGUCAAUGUUGUGUACAUCAAAAGAUUUCAAUUUGGAGAGACGAAGAGAAGAGGUUGAAGUUGAUGGGGCCUUAGCAUUGAUGUUCAUCUUGAUAGUCUGCUUUAACGGCCUUGAACUGGUAUUCGACAACAUUAGAUAUUCAUCGAGUGAUGGAUACAGUGGCAUGAAAUUCAAAGGGCAAUUUCUAAUGUUUAACGAGGAAAGACAAGGAAAUGCCAUGGUUGAUGUUCCCAUAACUUCUUUGGCAAUUCUUGAAGCCGGUGACACUGAUCAAGUUUCAGCGCUAGCAAAUUCUGAAUCUUGCAAAUACUCUUUGGGAGAAUCUUAAGACAGAGAUUAUAAGAAAGAUCAAGGUACCUCAAAUGUUUCAACUUGUAAAUGGAGGGUGAAAUCAUCUGAAUACCUAAACAUUGCAAAUCCAAUACACGCAAGCAUCUACAAUUUGCAAUUACAAAAUCCCAAGUUUCUUCGCUCAAUUUUGGAAAAUCAUUGUUUGGAUACUGUAACAAGGUUCGCAACUUCUUUCCCUUAAACAAAGGAAUUAGUGAAGGUUUAAUUGAUAUGUGGCGACAUUUUUCACCAACAUCACUUGCAAUUUUAUUUGAAUCUACAAUACUACUCUCCAUCCCUGCUACUGAUUCAGCUAGAUCAUGCAUUAAAUCAUGCAUUUUACAUGUUAGCCCUUCCCAUGAAUAUCUUUCUCCUACUUCUUGGAAGAAACUUCUUUCAACUAAAUCUUUAAAAUACCCAAACCCGAUCUCCUCGACAGAUUGACUUUGAUUCAAUUGCUUUAUGAAACCUUGUGCAAUCCAAAACUGAACAAGCGCUUGUACUUCAAUUCUGUAAUCUUUUGGAUACAAUUGGCAAUAAGCAAAGCAAUGCUUCAAAUAAGAUGGGAGAUGAUCAUAACUCAAUUUCAGUAUAGGUAGAAGUUCUCCUUCAAUUUGUGAUAUUUUAGCAAGUUCAUUUUCUUUGAAAGAAUACCACUCAUUUGCAGUUUUCUUCAAAGAUAAUGUACCAGCUAUCGUCCUUAUGGCUAAGGGAACCCCACCACACCUUUCCGAAAUCUGUCUCCCUACUUCCACAAAGGCUGAAUUUGUUGAGUCUGCAUAUCCUUGCUCAAAUGCUAUCCUUUUGAACAAAGACCAAGCAUCAUCAUCAGACAAGCCUUUCAGUUUCAAAACAUGGGAUUGACAUUUAUUAGUUAUCUCCGCUACCCUUAGAGAUCGAGUCGUUACUAUUAUCCUACUCCCUUUAGCCCCACCCAUCAAUAACUUCUUUAGCCUAGACCACUUUUCUGGGUCCUCAUUCCAAAUGUCAUCCAAAACAAGCAAAUAUUUUUUCCCAUCAAUUUUAUCUCGAAGUUGUUUUUGCAAUUGAUCCAUUUCAAGAUUUUGAUCAGGUGCUUGAUGAGUCACAGAUUUGAUAAUGUUUGCUACAAUAACUUUCACAUCAAAAUCAUCUGAAACACACGCAAACAUCGUUAAGUCAAAAUGAUUUUUGACCAUUUCCUGGUUAUAGACAAGUUGGGCCAAAGCAGUCUUCCCUAACCCUCCAAACCCCACAAUUGGAAUGAUAUAAACAUUCUCUUCACUUUGAAACUCCAACACGAGUUUUAGAAGAGCUGCUUUAUCAUCAUCCCUCCCUAUUAUGUCAUCUUCACGCUCAAAAGAGUGCGUUUGCUGCCUCCUUUUAGUCAUGAAAGAGGUUUCCGCGGGGCGAUCACGCGGAAUGAAGCCAAAAGUGUUGGCCUCCCUUUCAAUUGAAGUUAAUCUCGCCUUAAUGGCCUUCAUUUUCCGACCCAUUUUGAGACCAUAAGCAAAUUGGUUUGAGGUUGAGAAGAAAAGGCGUACCUCUUUCGCCAGCUUGUUCCCACCCGAUACAUCUUUCCGCAAAGCUUCAGUAGAGAAAUCAUCGAGCAAGUCGUCGGCAUCAUAAAGUACAUAUUUCAGCUCUUCAAGCCAAACUUUGACGAGAUUGUCGGUCACCGAUUUCUCUUCAGCGUCAAGAAGCACAGCUUUGAUUUGACAGACAGUGCGUUUGAGGUCGUGGAUGUCAUGUUUUAGAUUCCACCACAGCCCAACUUGAGAGAGAGCACAAGAGCUCAACUUAGUAAUAAGCUCUAGGGCGAGGUCGAAUGCAAUUGCUUCGGCCAUUGCUGGUUCAAACAGAAAUCAAGCAAAGAAGGGUUAUUGCAAGAGGAGGAGUAAAAUGAGAAUGAUUGGAACAAGAUGAAACACAAAUGUGGAUCCAUACAUGCAGAGACUUGAGUAUAUUUAUAGAUAUUACCAUCCACCCACCAAGUAGCAUAAUUAAAUAAAAAGCAUUACAUUUUUUCCUUUUUAUCCUUCUUAUAAUUAAUUUAAUAAUUUUAUUUAAUGUCAUACAAUUAACAAUUAAUGAAUAAAACGAUAUUAUAUUAUAAUAUUUUUAAUGAAUAAAUAAUUUUACUUUCUAAUAAAAUAAUCUUAUUGGGUGUAUAAUAUAAUUAUAUCAUACAUUAAACAUAAAAAUCCAUUAAUUUAAUAUCUUAAAAGUGUGCAUCUUUUAUGAUUCUAAUGUAGAAUUUUCUUUUUUACCUAAAUAUUAUAUUUUCCUUUUUGUUAAAAAACAAAAUAAGAAAAUAUUAAUUUCAUAAUAAUGAAUAAAUAAAUGUAGCAUUCGAAAACUUGGCUCACUAAUUAGUGCAUGUUUUAUUUAUUCAAAAAGUGAGGCUCAAAAAUCCUUCUUUUUCGAGUUCAAAGAAAAUACAAAAAUUAAGGUUCACAAACAUCAAUUUUCUAAAUUUAUAUAGUGCAACAAAUUACAUGGGCUUAAUUGUAAUUUUUUUAAAACGUUUCACAUACAGCUUUUUUUUUUUUUUUCUAUUGUGAACAUUGAAAAAAAAAUUAGAACAAUAAUUUAAGUUGUAAAAUUGAUCAAUUGAAUUGUUUAGAUAUUUAGUUUUCAUUUAAAACUAUACAUACUUAAGGAUUGAAUUAUUCGUUCAAUAUUCAAAUCGAUUAUUAGAUAAAUUAUUUUUUAAUUCAAAUACACAAAUAUAGAAUCACAACUCAGCUCGAUCUAUAUAGUUUCAAAAAUUACUCAGGGCAGAAUUCCCCUCCCCUAAAUUUGGAAAAUUUUCAUUAAGCCUUCAAUUUUUUUGAAAUUUUUAAUUAGACUUUACCUUAGUUUAAUUGAAAACAGCUCACAAGGUACAAAUUGAACAUAUAUAGACAUCUCUUCUCCCCUUGCUUGAGUUGUUGAACUAAACUAACUUUCUUCAUAUAAUAUUAAUUUUACCCAAAAUUUUCCUGUUCAACGAAAACAAAAUUCCUAAAAUACAAAAGUUAAUGGAAGAUAAAGAAGACAUUGGAUCUAGGUUUAAUUGUUUUGUAAUAAGCUAAAAGGGAUGCAGUGGUUGCAGGGCAUCCAUAUUUGUAUCCUCAAAAUUUGGUAACUGAAGGGAGCUAUGCUAAGCAUUCAACCAAUCAUUAGGUACUGCAACGUUUUCAUUAAAUGAUAGUCUUACAUAAUGUACACAAGAUUGCCUGUUAAUUAGUUGUGUUUCCAUGUGUUGGAUUAUUAUUUGAAACCCCGAAAGAGAAAAAUGUAUAUAUUUUUUUUAAGUUGACACACAAAAAAGUAAAAAUAAAGGAGAAUAAAGAACACAACCAAGAUGUUUCCGCAGUUCAAAACUCAUCCUACAUUUGUGAGCUUUGUCUAGAGAUAAAAUCGCUAUAAACUUCACAGUACAAUGAAAUUAUUUAUGCCCAACCCUCCAAACUUGGUGCAACCUCACCUUUGUACAAUUAACUAAAUACUCUUCCAACUUACAUUAGCUAUGCAAGAGAAAAUCAACACUCAUAAGGUGGCACUCAAAUAAUAGUUACUAAGUGUGCCUCUAAGUCCACAAAUCAUCUAUAUAUACAAGCUCCAAGAUCAGCUGAUGAAGAAUGCAUACAGAUUGACUCGUCAACAAAGAAAAACAGAAAAAGGAAGAACAAAUGUGCAUAGAGAGGAGGAUUUCAUGGGAGCACAAUGCCAUGGACAGAUCAGCUGAUGAAGAAUGCAUGUCCUGCUUUUUGGCUCUUCCAUUGAACUCGUGCUGAAAAAGAAGCAGCUUAGUCACGAGGUUAUAUUAGAUCAUUUGAAAUUAUGAGAUUAUUAUGAUUUUAAAAUGUAAAGCAAUUAAGUAAUUACCACCUAUUUUUCUGCAUCUAAAUUCUUGAAGUUGUCAAAUGCCUUUCAGAAAAAUACAUGCCAAUCGAAUAUGUGGGCAGAUAAACAAAUGAGGGUAGCAAGUAUGAUCUCUGCUUUUUGUAUUGCAUGCUAUGCUCUGCCGAAGAAUAGAGCCAAAAGCUAACAAAAAUGAAGGGUAAAAAGAUUAAUGGAAACCUUGUAGUUUUCAAAGGUGAAUAAAUAAGGACAAUUAAGAUCGGUGUUAACAAAUUUUAACUAAUAUUUUGAAAACAUUUGAAAACAUUUUAAAUAAGUUAAAAUAUAUAAUAUAAAAAAUCUAUAAAAAAAUUUCAAAAUUCAAUUAUUGUAAUAUAAAACUUUCAUAUCUAAAAACCCUAAAUUAAAUUAAACUAUUUCAAUUGAAUUCAACAAACAAAUUGGACCGAAAACCAAUUAAUUGAUUGGUUCGGCCACCGUAUGUGAAUUUAAUUUCGUAUUUAUUUAAUUUGGUUAGCACAUAUUAAUAGUUUUCAUAUUCUCUUUAGUUUUUGUAUUUUCGGAUUGUGUAAAAUUUAAAAUUUAAAUAUUUUUAUGUUCAUAUUUUUUUUUAUAAAUAUAUAGGGGUAAGCUCUCACUAACUUUUUGAAGCUUUUAGGAGUUCCUUCUAUUGAAGCAAUAUCAUGAGCGAAUCUAUAAUCAAUAUAUAUGAGAAAGAAAAAAUAUAUAAAAAAGUAAAAUAAAAAAUAAAAAUAGACUUGAACACUUAUGGAUGUUAAAUUUAUAAUAAGCUUAAGUAAAAGGGUUAAAAUAAUCAAACUAUUGUCUAACUCAUGCUAUGAAAAAGAAAUCACAGUUAAAAGAAUAUUGUAUGCUUCAAUGAAAGUCACAAUUUAUCUUUGAUCAUGCUUGUUCGCAACUAAGUAGCUAUAAUGUAACUACAUGUUCCUACAAACCUCGCACUAGUCGACUUUGCCCUAUGAUCCAUUAGUCGAAUUUGUGAUGUCUAUAUUUUAAUAUGCGAGGUAUUUAAAGAAAUAGAUACAUCAAUUUAUUUUUGUAGUGGAUAAAUAUAAUUAUUUAUUUACACAAUAUAUAAACAUAAAAUGAUGCCCUAUUAAUAAUUUAUGAAAAUUAGAUCAAAUUAAAAUUUCAUGUAUAAAAUUAUAUGUUAUGCCAAAGUUUAUAUGUAGUUUUGAGAUUUAUCCCAUUUUCCUAUUAACUUAGCCAUUAGCCUGAGCAUUAAAUGUUCGCUCAAAUAUGAUAGGGGACAUACUUAAAACACAUGUGUCCAUGCUAUAUAGGCAACUUGAAUCUAAUUUGUUAAAAGAAGAAGAAGAAGUAAUCCUCUUAAAUUUUAUAAUCUCAGCGUGUUUUUAAUAUGUUAGAAUCAAGUUAUCAAUAUGAUGAGUACACAAGUAUUUACAAUUUAAUCCAUGUCAAAUGAGAACAGAAAUUUAAAAUCUAAAUUGAUAGCUACAAAAAUGAAAUGAUUUUAUUGUUAUAAUAUUAAUACUUUCAAAACUUAAUUAAAAUAUUUUAAAAUUUACAAAUUAAUUCUAAAACAAUAUUUAAUAAAUUGAGAAUAUUUAAUACAAAUAACUUCUUAUUUGAAUAUAAAUAAUUAUAACACAUUUAUUAUUAAACAAAAUAAUAUUGUUUGGUUGGAAAUGGUCCCACCGUAUUUUACGUUUGGGGAACAAAGCGAUGGCGUUUUGGUUGGAGAAGAAGGGAGUAACGUUGUUAAGUACAUCAUUUUGUUUAUUUUCGUUUUAAAUUUGUUUUCUCGUUUUCUAUUUGAUGCCGUUAAUAUUCUUUUUUGAGUAAACUAUAUUAAAAGUCAUUCAACUAUUUUAAAAAGUACAAAAUGAUCACCAAAUUAUUAGUAAUUUCUUUUAUCUAAUUAUGAAAAGUUACAAAAUAAUCAAUAAACUGUUAUUUUUUUCCUUUUCUUUCACCCAACUAUCUUGGAUUUUUUGGUGUUUUCUAUUUUUUCAUUAGCCAACUAAUGAUAAAAAUGAUAAAAUUGAAUUGUUGGGAGACUAUUUUGUAACUUUUCAUAAUUGAGUAACCAAAAAGGAAAAAAAAAACUUAGUUGGGUGACUACUAAAGUAGGUUACCCUUUUUUAGGUUAAAAUAUGCCAUAUGUCCUUGUACUCGCCAUAAAUUUGAAAUUUAGUCUCUAUACUUGUAUUUAUAGGAAUUUAAUUCUUUUACUUUUUAAAGUUCAAAUUUCAGGUCCAAUUAUUAAUACUGUUAAAUUAACCAUUUAAUGAUAGAGGGACUAAUUUGUAUGCAGUCCCUACAGUACCGGUACUUUAACCCUUAUAUAUAUUUGAAUUUUAUUUUAGGAUUAAAUUGAAAAUUUGAAAAAAGUAAGAGUUCAAAAAGGUAAAAACAAAUGAAAUUAGCACAUUAACUUACAAUUAUAUACCCUUUCUUUUCCCUCCUUUUCUACUCUAUAUCUCUCUAAUGUCUGAACUAAAACCCUCACUUUCUCUCCCUUCCUAUUUCCCUAUUGCAAUUAUACCCACCUCGUUUCCCCUCAAUAUCAUAAACCUCCAUGUUCGGGAUGGUCUUACGCUGCCGUAUUAACCUCCUCCUACGGCUUCAACAGUACCAGCUUCGACGGUUCCUCCGGUUGUUCCGCCGAUACGUCGUCACCUGGCCUUCGAUUCGACGAAGCCGCCGUUUGUUCAUCCCGAUGAUUAUCACAGAUUUUCAUCUAGUAAUAGUCGUGGAAUCGUCACCGAUCAGGAAGUUGAAGCUGAACAUUUAAUGCUGUGCUCUAUAUGAAGAAAGCUUGAUGGGUGUUAGUUCUUUUGAUGUUUGUAGAAUAAUAAAAGAAAACUUCUCAAGUUUAUUGGAUGCUAACAUAUUGUUAUAUACAAGCAAGGAAAGGAAGUAACAGAAAGUAACAGAAAAAUAACUACUAACUGACUAACAAGAAAUUAAUUUAAAACUAUAUGACUAAUAGCCCCCCUCAAGUUGGAGAGUGAAUGGGAAACAGUCCCAGCUUGGACAAAAUAAGCUGGAAGGGAACAGCAGGCAGAGCUUUGGUGAAGAUGUCAGCAAGCUGGUCUUUGGAAGAAUAAGGAAGCAAUUUGACAACACCGGACAACACUUUUUCACGAACAAGAUGACAGUCGAUCUCAAUAUGUUUAGUACGUUCAUGAAACGUAGGGUUUGCAGCAAUUUAGAGAGCAGAAUUGUUGUCGCAAAAAAAAGCAGUAGGCCUAGAAAUAGACAGAUGCAAAUCAGACAGAAGAAAUCGAAGCCACUGAAUUUCACAAACAGUAGAUGCAAGAGCCCUAUAUUCUGCUUCUGAGGAAGAGCGAGACACGGUGCUUUGCUUCUUGGCUUUCCAACUAAUAAGGGAAUCUCCAUAAAAUAGGUAGUAACCAGUCACGGAGCGACGUGUGAGAGGACAACCAGCCCAAUCAGAGUCACUAAAUGCCUUCAGUGUAGGCGAAGAAGAAGCAGAAAAGAAAAUACCAAAGUCAAUGCAUCCUUUCAGGUAGCGAAGAAUGCGAUGGGCAGCUUUUGAAGGUGAGUGACUAUAGGUCGGUCCAAGAAUUGACUUAACUGUUGAACAACAAAAGCAAGAUCAGGUCUAGUAGAAACCAAAUAUAAUAGGCGUCCAAUAAGUUUUCUGAAAAUAGUGUUAUCAGGAAGUAAUUCGUCAGAAGCAUCGCGAGGGAUUUUAGUAACCAUAGGAGUUGUAACAGGCCUGCAAUCUGAGAAACCAAAAUCAGCCAGUAGAUCGAGAGCAUAUUUUUGCUGGCAAAGAUGAAUACCAGCAAAACUACGAGCAACUUCAAGGCCAAGAAAAUACUUGAGAUCCCCCAAGUCUUUGAUGCUAAAGGCAGAAUGCAAGAAGGCUUUUACCCGUGUGAUUUCUUCCAAAGAAUCACCAGCUAGAAUAACAUCAUCAACAUAAACCAAUAAGGCAGUAAAGGAAAUUUCAUCCUUUUUAACAAACAGAGAAAAAUCUGAAGUAGAUUGAACGUAACCAAUUGUAGUGAGAGCUGCAGUGAGUUUGGCAAACCACUGUCGACUAGCCUGCUUGAGACCAUAUAAUGAUUUUUGCAACUUACAAACCUUAUGGGAAGUGGAGGAAGCAAAACUAAGAGGCAAAAGCAUAUAAACUUCUUCAGUCAAAUCUCCAUGCAGAAAUGCAUUGUUAACAUCAAGCUGGUGCAAAAACCAGUCUUUGGAAGCAGCAAUAGCAAGCAAUAAUCGAACAGUAGUAAUCUUGGCCACAGGGGAAAAAGUAUCAAAAUAAUCAACACCCUCAGUUUGUGUGAAACCUUUAGCAACCAAACGAGUCUUGUAACGCUCAAUAGAACCAUCGGCUCGAUAUUUCACACGAUAGACCCAUUUGCAACCGAUUGCAAUUUUGCCUGAAGGUAAGUCCAUAAUGAUCCAGGUGUUAUUUUGUUCAAGAGCAGAAAUUUCAGCUUGCAUUGCUUCUUGCCAAUGGGGAAUUUUGCUAGCUUGUAAAUAGGUUGUAGGUAUGGGAGAAGCAUUGAUAGCAAGAGUAAUAGGUGUGGCGCAUCGAAGAUGAUUGGCAACAGCUUUGCUGGAAAAGCAGUGAUACUGGUCUAAAUAUGAAGGAGGUUUCCUAAGACGAGGUGGCCUAGAGGGUUGUAAAGGAACGGGAGGUGAGGGUUGUGAUUGAAUUGGCAAGUCAUAGGUAAUGGUGGGGUCAAAGGUUAACUGUGGGAUGGAAGAGGAAGAAGAUGGUUGUUGAGAAAAAGGGAAAACGGACUCAUGGAAAUGGACAUUUUUGGAUAUAAAAAUGGCAUGGGUUGAUAGAUCAAAAAGAAUAUAGCCUUUGACAUGAGGUGGAAAACCAAGAAAGACACACUCACGUGCUCGAGGAUCCAACUUAUGACGAUGAGCAGUAAGAGUGGUUGCAAAACAAAGACAGCCAAAGACACGGAGGUGCUGAAAAGAUGGCUUAGUUUGGUAUAACUUGUCAAAAGGGGUAAGGUUAGCCAAAAUGGGAGUAGGGGUACGAUUAAUAAGAAAAACAACAUGAAGAAUAGCAUGUCCCCAAAAAUGCUUAGGCAAAUGAGAAUGAAAUAAGAGAGCCCGUGCAACAUUAAAAAUGUGUUGGUGCUUGCGUUCUACAAGACCGUUUUGUUGUGGGGUUUCAACACAUGUAGUUUGAUGAAUUGUGCCUUUGGAAGCAUAAAAGGCUAGAAUGACAAACUCACAACCAUUGUCAGAUCGAAUGACUUUAAUUUUAGAUGAAAAUUGAGUUUCAACAAGUGUGAAAAAAUUCUGAAUGUGAGUACGAACUUCAGAUUUUGCUUUCAAUAAAAUAAUCCAAGUAAAGCGACUAAAAUCAUCAACAAUGGUUAAAAAAUAACGAUGACCAGUAAUGGAAAUAACAUCAGUUGGACCCCAAAUAUCAACAUGAACAAGUUCAAAAAUUUUAUUGGAAAUGGAAGUGCUUACAGGAAAAGAUAAUUUCUUUUGUUUGGCCAAAUGGCAGGCUGUACAAGGUGCAUUAUUUGACAAAGACAAAGAAGGAAUGUAAGGGAAAAGUAGUUUUAGUCGAGAAUCAGAAAGAUGACCGAGACGAUGAUGCCAAAGGGAACAUGAAGAUGUGUUGGCUGACAAGGCAAUGGGAGCAGAAAUGGAAAAAGUUUGAGCUGGGAAAUCCAAAAUAUAAAGACCAUGGAGCACUCUAGCUGUACCAAUCAUAUUCGAAGAAGGAAGAGCCUGUAUAGAACAAUGAUUUUUAUGAAAAGUAAAGGAACAAGGUAAUAUAGCAGUGAGUUUAGUAACAGAUAAAAGAUUAAAGGUAAAUUGAGGAACAUAGAGAACAUUAGUAAUGUAAAGACUAUUAUUGAAAAUGACUGUACCAGAAAUUCGAGCACAAACUUUAGUGCCAUUUGGAAGGUUGAUGUAUAUAGGUUUAAUGGAAUGAAAAGAAGCAAAAAACGAUAAAGAGUGAGCAAUGUGAUCAGUGGCACCUGUGUCAAUGAUCCAAUGAUGGGAUUGAAGAGAAAAGAGGUUACCUGAGGAUGGGAAAGGGUUCGGUUGUGAGGAAGAAUCAGUAUUGGUAACAUGAGGUGGGGAGGUAGAUGCUGGAAGUAAUGCAAGUAGCUGUUGCAACUGAUCUUGUGUCAAAGUAACAGAAGGAUCAGAUGGCAAAAUAUCAACAUGCUGCGAAGAGUCCAAAGGUUGUGAAGCACAAUCAUUAAGCGCUGUAUGUGCACGAGAGGCCCGACCUCGAGACUUGUAACCAGGUGGAUAUCCAUGCUUUUCAUAACAAGUAUCAACAGUAUGCCUGGAUUUGCCACAGAAGGUACAUUACCGUGAAUCAGUAAAUGAUUUAGCCUGAGGUUUCUUUGAAGAACUGUGGUGGCGCAGUGUGUUGCUAACAAACAACUGAGAUGAGCCAGUAGGAAGGUGACGUUCUUGUUGAAUAACCAGGGAAAAUACUUUGUUGAUUGGAGGCAAGGGAUCAAUAAGCAUGAUUUGAGAACGAACAGCAGCAAAUCGAUCAUGAAGACCCUUAAGAAAACGAAUAACGUAGUCGUUAUCAUGAUAUUUCUGGAGAGUGACAAAAACACCGCAAGAGCAAGAUGGUGAACAAGAACAAACUGGAAUUGGUCGAAAAUUCAUCAACUCAUCCUAGAGAAUUUUUAACUCAGUAAAGUAAUCAGUAACGGAACGAUCAUCUUGCUUGAAAGCAUUGAUCUCUUCUUGGAGAGCAGAAAUGCGGAAAACAUCACUUUGAGAAAAGCGUUCACGAAGAUCGCGCCAAACAUCAUAAGCAAAGUCGAGCCAAAGAACACUGUUCAUGAUCGAGGGCGAGAUGGAAUGGUGCAACCAAGAAAGCACCAUAGUGUUACAUCGUUCCCAGGCAGAAUAAAGAGGAUCCGUUCGAGGUGGAACCGUGAUGGUGCCGUCAACAAACUGAAGCUUGUUCUUGGAUAGAAAUGCCAUUGUCAUAGCUCGAGACCAAGAGUGAUAGUUUGAGCUUGAUAAGACAGGAGAAACAAGAACCAAAGCUGGAUUUUCAUUUGGAUGCAGAUAGUAUGGGCUAGAAGGCAGCAUAGUAUCAUGAAAUGCCAUUGGAAGAAAAGGGAAUCAAGAAUGCAGAUUAUGGAGAAAGCAAAAUAUAACGUCUGAUACCAUGUAGAAUAAUAAAAGAAAACUUCUCAAGUUUUUUGGAUGCUAACGUAUUGUUAUAUACAAGCAAGGAAAGGAAGUAACAGAAAGUAACAGAAAAAUAACUACUAACUGACUAACAAGAAAUUAAUUUAAAACUAUAUGACUAAUAAUGUUUUGUCUUUGAUGGAUGUUUGAAAAAUGAUUCAGUUGAUAUCCAUAAUGUCUAUCACUAUAGUUUCCCCCUUAUGCAUAAUUCGACUGCUCUGCUAGUUUUGUCGGACAAAAUUAUAUUCGCAUAUUAUAUUCUUUUUCUUUAUUGUCUUCAACGCGAUAACAAGUGAAUUACUAGUUACUUUACUUGAUUUUUUCAUGGCAUUUAUCUCUUUGAGUUUUGGCCUUUGUGAAUUAACUUUUGAAUCAAGUAGCGAAGCAUUUCUGAUGGUUCUUAUGGCUAACAGUAAGUUUUCUUGUACAAGCUGUCGCACUUAUGCAUUUGUUAAACUUAUGCUCUUUUUUAUUUUAUUUUCUUCAAUUCAAUUGGUUGUUAACGUUGACAUAACCGUGCACAAAUACUAAGGGACCUUGUAAUUUUGCCUGCCAUUGGCGGUACUUUGAAAUAUUGCUGAUUUUUCUCAGCAAUUAAAAAGGAAGAGCGCAGCAGACAAAAAUGAUGUUGAGUCUAGCCAAUGGACAAGCAGUCCGGGGGUUACCUGUAUAUGCUAAAGGAGGAAGGAUAAAUAAUAGAUCAAAGACAUCAAAAGCCAAUAAAUCAAUGCCUCACACACCUGUGUCAAAUGCUGGUGCGAUACUAUUUCCUACUGGCUUUGUCCAUAGAAGGAAACUUAUGAUUCACCCCACGGCUCUAUCAUCAAUGCCUCAUUGCUCCAAUUAAGAGAGAUGGAUUUUGUAGAAGAGGAAUCACUGACAUUAUAAAUGAUAAUUGGCAGGUUGUCCAUCUCCUCUUACACCUGUGGCAGCUGCUGUUUAGAUAGUCCUUUAGUUAAUCUUUACUGCCCAUUCUUUUUUCUUUUACUAUAGUCUGUUUUAGCUCCUUAACCUGCUAUGGAUGGUGAGAACGACAAUAAUGCAGUCCCCAUUUUUAGGUCUGUUGACGAAAAAGUUUGUCAAUCUGAUGAAGCAUGCUGAUUUGUCAAUCUGAUGAAGCAUGCUGAAGAUGGUAUCCUUGACCUAAAUAAGGCUGCAGAAACAUUGGAGGUAAUGAAAUACUAGCGAGCUUAUGUAUCAUUGGGUGUUUGUUGAGUAUUUUUUUCAUGUUACUUAAAGGGUUCUUUUGUCCUUUAUUUUUCCCUGUAAAUGUUGUAACAGGUGCAGAAGAGGAGGAUAUAUGAUAUAACAAAUGUCUUGGAGGGCAUCCCUUCAUUUGAAUACUGUUUGGAACCCUAAAAAAACAUAAAUGUGUUUUUUCCUGAGAUGGCACGUAUUUUGCAAUAAGAAAAAUAAAGAGUACAAUUAAAAUGUUUAUGCAGUUCGGAACUUGUCCUAUGUCUGCGGAGCUUUGCCCAAAGAUGAAUCCACUAUGAACUUUAUAGUACAAAGAAAUGAUUUAAGCUUAACCCCUCAAACACUUUAUGCAAAUUCUCACUUUUGUACAAUUAAGUAAAUUCUCUCCCAACUCAUUUUAGCUAUGCAAGUGAAAAUUCACAUUCAACACUCACAUGAUUUUCCUACUAUGAAUAAGUUCUUAAUAAGCUCCAUGUAAAGUGGAAUAAUAAAUUUUCAAAUGCAAUAUGUCUGGGAAUUGUCAUGCUUGAACAACGACUCUUCCAAAAGCAUCAAUGAAUCUGAAAAUUAUAAAUGCCAACAUAGAAUAUGUUACAAAUCCCGUUAUUAUCAGCCUUAUAUUUACACAUAUGUCUGUUUAGUAUAAUGCUGUUGAUAUAUAAAUAAUGAAACAUUUUAUCAACUUCAACCUCACCACCGAAUAUUCUGAAGCAUUUUCCUUUUUUUCCUGUUUGGACCUUCAAUAACAAAUUUGGCUGGAAUUCCAAACAGCUAAAAGAGUGCCCUGCAUCAAUGAAUAUUAAGAUGGUAAGCAAAAACAUAAAUAUAUAUAAAGAUAUGAUAGGUAAGUGCUUAAAUGAAGAAAGCAGAGCAUAUAGUACAACCAUUUUGAAGGCUUCAUGGGCCUCUCUCUCCACAUCAAUCAUUUUUUAGAAUCAAAAUAUUAGAAGCAAAUAGAUGAAUUAUCACCUCUUUUUAUGCAUAUAGAAUGAUUGAAGUUGACUAAUGCCUUUCUCCAAUGCCUUACUGCACAAAUCAGCAAAUAUAUUAUGAAAGAUGAUAAGUAAAAAGUAGGAUGAAAACAAAGGGAUUUUAACAAGGAAAUUAACAGUAUCCAACUUCAAUGAAAAAUGGCAUCAGACCCCUGACUUGGAGAUUCAAUAUACCACUCUUAUUUUUCUUCAAAAAAAGAUAAGGUCAUCAAAAUAAAUAAAUAACAAAGACAGACCAACCUGAUAUGACCCAAUGUUGGGGAUGUGAGCAAUCUUUUGCCAAUCAGCGCCAAUGUCCUUCCGACAUCUUUCCUCCAACUGAGGAAUUCCUUUUAUGUGUAAAUACUCCAAACUGGUUAGGCAACGCAUCCCGUCCGGAAGAGAUGUUAAAUUUGGCAAAUUAACAAGAUGAAGCCGUUGCAGAUUUGUUAGAUGUUGAAGCCACUCCGGAAGAUGCCGACACUUUGGAAUAUAUUCCAGCCGUAGAGAGCGUAGUCUUGUAUGAUCUUGGAAUAUUUGGAUGCCAGCUCCAGAUAACUCCAGCUCCUCGCAGUUCCUUACUUCAAACUCUUCAAGGAAAGUGAGAUGUUGGAACACAGGAAGCAGUGACCUCAAUCCAUUCCAGUUAUGAAUUUUUAAUGUUUUCAAUUGAACAAGAUGUUGAAGCCCAAUGGGGAGAGACACCAGCUUUGGAAUAUUAUCAAUCUCCAAAUGAGAGAGAUUCUUAAGGGGUUCCCAUUGCAUGCCCUCUAAAUCAACCUCCUUGCAAUCUCGUAUUGUUAAUCUUUUGAGGCUGGUGAGAUGUUGCAGGCACUCAUCUAGCGUGUAAGUGUCCAACCCCUCAAUGUUGUGUACAUCGAAAGAUUUCAUUUUGGAGAGUGGAAGAGAAGAGGUUGAAGUUGAUGGGGCCUUAGCAUUGAUGUUCAUCUUGAUAGUCUGCUUUAACGGCCUUGAACUGGUAUUCGACAACAUUAGAUCUUCACCGAGUGAUGGAUACAGUGGCAUUAAAGUCAAAGGGCAAUUUUGAAUUGUUAAAGAGG
rnacentral:lncRNA from 1 species